rnacentral:tRNA from 1 species
GCAGAGGCAGUUCAGUGGUAGAAUUCUUGUCUCCUAUGUUUUUUUUUUAUGUUGGAGACCCAGGUUAGAUUCCUGGCCAAUGCG